AGUAAAGUUGGUCCUUGACAAGCACCUGUUUGCUUGGACUCGUUCUUUUCUCUCAGCUCAUCUUUUCACAGGUUUGGAUCUCUUCUAUCCCUCGGAAUAACAAGCUCCGCUGGCCGGAGCAGGUGGUGCCCAGACGGGGGGCUAGAAGAACGAACCCCCUCCGGAUGGAGACUCUCUAGAACAGUGACCAGUCAUUCUCCUUGAAGGCCGCUGUUUCUAGACCCACAAGACGAACCAUGAAUAUCCUACAGACCUCCCUUGUUAUGUCAUUGGCAACCUGGCUGGUGACUAGAGAAGGCGAGAUGUCGGGACCACCUGUGGAAACUCAACAACUUGCCUCAACUUGCCCAUUCCCUUACCUGCAGUAAAGGUACUGCUUGGCAGCAGCAGAGAUGUGCUCACAGAACUGUGGCUUGGCAGCAGCAGAGAUGUGCUCACAGAACCGUGGCUUACCACAAGAUGUUUCAGGCCCCUGGCCGAGAAGAAUCUAUAACUUUUCACCCACCCUACUUCCUCAUCCUGAACCUUUUAUAAAAGCUGAUUUUGCUCAGUAAAGUUAGUCCUUGAC